rnacentral:sRNA from 1 species
GUUUUUUCUUCUUCUUU